rnacentral:rRNA from 1 species
AUUGAACGCUGGCGGCAUGCCUUACACAUGCAAGUCGAACGGCAGCACGGGAGCAAUCCUGGUGGCGAGUGGCGAACGGGUGAGUAAUACAUCGGAACGUGCCCUGUCGUGGGGGAUAACUAGUCGAAAGAUUAGCUAAUACCGCAUACGACCUGAGGGUGAAAGCGGGGGACCGCAAGGCCUCGCGCGAUAGGAUCGGCCGAUGUCUGAGUAGCUAGUUGGUGGGGUAAAGGCCCACCAAGGCGACGAUCAGUAGCUGGUCUGAGAGGACGAUCAGCCACACUGGGACUGAGACACGGCCCAGACUCCUACGGGAGGCAGCAGUGGGGAAUUUUGGACAAUGGGGGCAACCCUGAUCCAGCAAUGCCGCGUGUGUGAAGAAGGCCUUCGGGUUGUAAAGCACUUUUGUCCGGAAAGAAAUCCUCUGCCCUAAUACGGCGGGGGGAUGACGGUACCGGAAGAAUAAGCACCGGCUAACUACGUGCCAGCAGCCGCGGUAAAAC